UAUUGUAUUAAUUGUGUAUAGGUAAUCAAGGAUGAUCCCAAGUUAUACUUGCCUUAAAUACUUGUACAACUCUCACAUCAUCAGCUUUUAGUCAUCACCUUGAUCUUCAGCACUCUCAAGCAGUUAUCGUCUACUCGCAGAUCGUAACAACCGAGCACACCAACAAACAUACAAACAACAAAUAGAAACAAUUAAGAACAACACACCAGACGAGGUUAAGCAACAUUCUAAAGGAGAGCUCGCUGUUAUGAUCAUGAGAGCGUAAGAAAACACUGAGAACAAGUCUAGUUCUAUAUUAUUUCAUUAUUCUAUUUUAUAAAAGAGAAACCUACAUCCUUGAUUUAUUUUGACUUAGCAAAACCAUAAGAAGCAUGUUAAUUUAGAUUACACAAAUUAUAUCCUAGUUUAGAAACUGAGCUAAAACUAAUCAACAUUUAUCUAUAAAUAUCGUCAUAUUAUAGAUUAAACAAGUUGAACAAAAUCGUGACGAAAUAUAUUUUAAUUACAAAUAAUUAUAUAUCAAUCAAGCCAUUUAAGCAUUUAUAAUUUAGAAAGCAUAAAGUAAAUGAGAACAACUAAUUGAAUCAUAAUUGAAUCAUCAUGUGUUGAGGUUCAUCUAAGCAGAUCAUAUUUCAAAGGGCAUUAAUGUUGGUAUUAUUCAUAUUAAUAUUCUUUAUUAAGUCCAAGCUUAUAUAUCUGGAUCACUUUUAAUUGAAGAUAUUAAAUAAAUAUUAAUUAUAUUACAUCUAGAUUGACUUUAUAUAAAUCAUGCUUCAACUAGGAUACCUAUAAUUUAAUAAAUACAUAUACAUAUUUAAGUUAACAAGCAAUUAUAAAAAUGUCGAACAUAAACCUAAAUUACUUUUAAUUAAUUAGAAAAGACACUAAACAAAACAGUAAUCCAAUUAAUUAUAUUCACAUGAGACAUGGAAAAUAAUGUUCCUAACAUGUUGCUUAAGUCGCCUUGAUCGUAAAGCAAUAAACAAAAUUAUAACUUUGCGUCGCUUCUAAUUAUAAAUUAGUUGCAUAGGUUAAUUAAUUUAAUAAUCACUAUAUAUAUAAAAAUAUGUGGUAUGAAAGACAUUGUUACUACUAUAUAGAGCACAUCGACAUGAAUCUAACGCAACUUGAACCGCUAAAAACGGACAUAGAACAAAUAAACAACAGGGAUUAAACAAACAGUGGCAACACUAUAAUUAAGUCGUCUUCUACCUUGGUCUGUUCUGCAGCAGUUCGUGACCUCCCUGGCCACUGCUGCUGCCGUUCGUGCAGAGGAGAAGGAGAGCUCCGUCAUGGGCUCAGCCAACAGGUUUGGUAGCACAAAAUCAUGCAGCGCAGGAGCCCACGCGGCUGAGCAGGGCCGGCUCGGCACCCAGCCAUGGCCGAGCGACCACUGAUGGCGGCGGCGCUGCUGGAUAUAAUAUACAAGAGCUCUCAUUAGGCUUGGGCCUGGCGCACUCAUCCCAGAGUGGAUGAACGAAGACCUCACCUAGGACGUUCCAACGAUGGAGACGCCUACGAUGAUGGUGUACGGCUCGGUGAGACGACGGUGGCGGCUUUGACCUCGCGUCGGCGAGAUUGGAAAUAAACGGCAGCGGCGAUAGGCCAGUGUAGCUAACAUCGGUUGAAUAGGUCACCAACAUAUAUUUAUAUGCAUUGUGGCCGAGUUGGAUUAGGUUUAGGAUUAAUUAUUUUUCAAAAUUCAUUAAUUUCAGAAAUAAAGUAAUUUUAGGAAAUAAAAAUAGAAUUACUUUUUAAGCCAUGAAAAAAUAUUUCGAAAGCUCCGUAAAUUUAGAAAAAUUUAAAGAAUGAUAUAUUUCAUAUAACUAAUUGACAAUAUUUUUUUAAACUGACAUUAGAAAUUUUUAUCCAAAUAUCAAAAUAUUUAUUUUAAGUAGUGUUUUCUAUGCACAACCCAAAGUUGAAAUUUUUGGGGUGUGACAG
rnacentral:lncRNA from 1 species